AGAACGAACGCUGGCGGCAUGCCUAACACAUGCAAGUCGAACGCGUGACUUCGGUCACGAGUGGCGCACGGGUGAGUAACGCGUGGGAACCUGCCCCGAGGUGGGGGAUAACCGAUGGAAACGUCGGCUAAUACCGCAUACGACCUAAGGGUGAAAGAUUUAUCGCCUUGGGAGGGGCCCGCGUCGGAUUAGCUAGUUGGUGGGGUAACGGCCUACCAAGGCAAUGAUCCGUAGCUGGUCUGAGAGGAUGAUCAGCCACACUGGGACUGAGACACGGCCCAGACUCCUACGGGAGGCAGCAGUGGGGAAUAUUGGACAAUGGGCGCAAGCCUGAUCCAGCAAUGCCGCGUGAGUGAUGAAGGCCUUAGGGUUGUAAAGCUCUUUCGGCGGGGACGAUGAUGACGGUACCGCAGAAGAAGCCCGGCUAACUUCGUGCCAGCAGCCGC
rnacentral:rRNA from 1 species